GUGAACGCUGGCGGUAGGCCUAACACCUGCAAGUCGAACGGCAGCACAGUAAGCGCUUGCUCUUACGGGUGGCGAGUGGCGGACGGGUGAGGAAUACAUCGGAAUCUACUUUUUCGUGGGGGAUAACGUAGGGAAACUUACGCUAAUACCGCAUACGACCUACGGGUGAAAGCAGGGGAUCUUCGGACCUUGCGCGAUUGAAUGAGCCGAUGUCGGAUUAGCUAGUUGGCGGGGUAAAGGCCCACCAAGGCGACGAUCCGUAGCUGGUCUGAGAGGAUGAUCAGCCACACUGGAACUGAGACACGGUCCAGACUCCUACGGGAGGCAGCAGUGGGGAAUAUUGGACAAUGGGCGCAAGCCUGAUCCAGCCAUACCGCGUGGGUGAAGAAGGCCUUCGGGUUGUAAAGCCCUUUUGUUGGGAAAGAAAAGCAGCAGGUUAAUACCCCGCUGUUCUGACGGUACCCAAAGAAUAAGCACCGGCUAACUUCGU
rnacentral:rRNA from 1 species